GCUCAGGACGAACGCUGGCGGCGUGCUUCAUACAUGCAAGUCGAACGAGAAGCUGACUUCGGUCAGUGGAAAGUGGCGGACGGGUGAGUAAAAUGUAGGUAAUCUGCCUUUAAGCGGGGGACAACAGUUGGAAACGAUUGCUAAUACCCCAUACGAGCUACAUUGAAAUAUGUAUCUUGAAAACUCCGGUGCUUAGAGAUGAGCCUGCAUCUGAUUAGCUAGUUGGGGGUGUAAUGGACCACCAAGGCGACGAUCAGUAGCUGGUUUGAGAGGAUGAUCAGCCACAAUGGGACUGAGACACGGCCCAUACUCCUACGGGAGGCAGCAGUGGGGAAUUUUGCGCAAUGGGCGAAAGCCUGACGCAGCAACGCCGCGUGAAUGAGACGGCCUUCGGGUUGUAAAGUUCUGUCACUGGGGACGAAAUUUGACGGUACCCAGAGAGGAAGCACCGGCUAACUCCGUGCCAGCAGCCGCGGUAAUACGGAGGGUGCAAGCGUUGUCCGGAAUCAUUGGGCGUAAAGAGUUCGUAGGUGGUUUGGUAAGUCAGAUGUUAAAGGCAUAGGCUCAACUUAUGUAUGGCAUUUGAUACUGCCGGACUUGAAUGCGGUAGAGGUAAAGGGAAUUCCCGGUGUAGCGGUGAAAUGCGUAGAUAUCGGGAGGAACAUCGGAGGCGUAAGCGCUUUACUGGGCCGUAAUUGACACUGAGGAACGAAAGCCGGGGUAGCAAAUGGGAUUAGAUACCCCAGUAGUCCCGGCCGUAAACGAUGAAUACUAGGUGUAGGUGGUAUCGACUCCAUCUGUGCCGACGCAAACGCAUUAAGUAUUCCGCCUGGGGACUACGGCCGCAAGGUUGAAACUCAAAGAAAUUGACGGGGACCCGCACAAGCAGCGGAGCAUGGGGUUUAAUUCGAAGCAACGCGAAAAACCUUACCAGAACUUGACAUCUAGUGACGAACCUUGUAAUGAGGUUUUCCCUUCGGGGCACGAAGACAGGUGUUGCAUGGUUGUCGUCAGCUCGUGUCGUGAGAUGUUAGGUUAAGUCCUGCAACGAGCGCAACCCUCGUGUACAGUUGCCAAUAUUAAGUUAGGAACUCUGUACAGACCGCCGUGGUUAACACGGAGGAAGGUGGGGAUGACGUCAAAUCAUCACGGCCCUUACGUUCUGGGCCACACCCGUGCUACAAUGGCUAUUACAAAGAGCAGCGAAACGGUAACGUGGAGCGAAUCUCAUAAAGAUAGUCUCAGUUCAGAUUGUGGGCUGCAACUCGCCCACAUGAAGUAGGAGUUGCUAGUAAUCCCGAAUCAGCAUGUCGGGGUGAAU
rnacentral:rRNA from 1 species